rnacentral:rRNA from 1 species
GCUCAGAUUGAACGCUGGCGGCAGGCCUAACACAUGCAAGUCGAACGGUAACAGGAAGAAGCUUGCUUCUUUGCUGACGAGUGGCGGACGGGUGAGUAAUGUCUGGGAAACUGCCUGAUGGAGGGGGAUAACUACUGGAAACGGUAGCUAAUACCGCAUAACGUCGCAAGACCAAAGAGGGGGACCUUCGGGCCUCUUGCCAUCGGAUGUGCCCAGAUGGGAUUAGCUAGUAGGUGGGGUAACGGCUCACCUAGGCGACGAUCCCUAGCUGGUCUGAGAGGAUGACCAGCCACACUGGAACUGAGACACGGUCCAGACUCCUACGGGAGGCAGCAGUGGGGAAUAUUGCACAAUGGGCGCAAGCCUGAUGCAGCCAUGCCGCGUGUAUGAAGAAGGCCUUCGGGUUGUAAAGUACUUUCAGCGGGGAGGAAGGGAGUAAAGUUAAUACCUUUGCUCAUUGACGUUACCCGCAGAAGAAGCACCGGCUAACUCCGUGCCAGCAGCCGCGGUAAUACGGAGGGUGCAAGCGUUAAUCGGAAUUACUGGGCGUAAAGCGCACGCAGGCGGUUUGUUAAGUCAGAUGUGAAAAUCCCCGGGCUCAAACCUGGGAACUGCAUCUGAUACUGGCAAGCUUGAGUCUCGUAGAGGGGGGUAGAAUUCCAGGUGUAGCGGUGAAAUGCGUAGAGAUCUGGAGGAAUACCGGUGGCGAAGGCGGCCCCCUGGACGAAGACUGACGCUCAGGAGCGAAAGCAUGGG